AGUCGAGCGGAGUUACUUUGAAGCUUGCUUUCAAAGUAACUUAGCGGCGGACGGGUGAGCAACACGUAGGCAACCUGCCCCUUAGACUGGGAUAACUACCGGAAACGGUAGCUAAUACCGGAUAAUUUCUUUUUUCUCCUGAAGGAAGAAUGAAAGACGGAGCAAUCUGUCACUGAGGGAUGGGCCUGCGGCGCAUUAGCUAGUUGGUGGGGUAACGGCCCACCAAGGCGACGAUGCGUAGCCGACCUGAGAGGGUGAACGGCCACACUGGGACUGAGACACGGCCCAGACUCCUACGGGAGGCAGCAGUAGGGAAUCUUCCGCAAUGGACGAAAGUCUGACGGAGCAACGCCGCGUGAGUGAUGAAGGUUUUCGGAUCGUAAAGCUCUGUUGCCAAGGAAGAACGUCCGGUAGAGUAACUGCUACCGGAGUGACGGUACCUGAGAAGAAAGCCCCGGCUAACUGCGUGCCAGCAGCCGCGGCAAUACGUAGGGGGCAAGCGUUGUCCGGAAUUAUUGGGCGUAAAGCGCGCGCAGGCGGUCAUUUAAGUCUGGUGUUUAAACCUUGGGCUCAACCUGAGGUCGCACUGGAAACUGGGUGACUUGAGUACAGAAGAGGAAAGUGGAAUUCCACGUGUAGCGGUGAAAUGCGUAGAUAUGUGGAGGAACACCAGUGGCGAAAGCGACUUUCUGGGCUGUAACUGACGCUGAGCGCGAAGCGUGAGGGAGCAACAGGAUUAGAUACCCUGUAGUCCACGCCGUAACGAUGAGUGCUAGUGUGUAAGGGUUUCGAUACCCUGGUGCC
rnacentral:rRNA from 1 species